GGGGUUUACAUUCAGUCAGACAGGUUAAAAUCAAUCAGAUGAGGUUUAAAUUCAGUCAGACAGGUUAAAAUCAAUCAGAUGAGGUUUACAUUCAGUCAGACAGGUUAAAAUCAAUCAAAUGAGGUUUACAUUCAGUCAGACAGGUUAAAAUCAAUCAAAUGAGGUUUACAUUCAGUCAGACAGGUUAAAAUCAACCAGAAGAGGUUUACAUUCAGUCAGACAGGUUAAAAUCAAUCAAAUGAGGUUUACAUUCAGUCAGACAGGUUAAAAUCAAUCAGAAGAGGUUUACAUUCAGUCAGACAGGUUAAAAUCAAUCAAAUGAGGUUUACAUUCAGUCAGACAGGUUAAAAUCAAUCAAAUGAGGUUUACAUUCAGUCAGACAGGUUAAAAUCAACCAGAAGAGGUUUAAAUUCAGUCAGACAGGUUAAAAUCAAUCAGAUGAG